rnacentral:tRNA from 1 species
AGUUCCAUGGUGUAAUAGUGAGCACUCUGGACUCUGAAUGCUGUGACCUGAGUUCAAGCCUUGGUGGGAUCU